AUCUACGGCCAUACUGUCCUGAACAUGCCCAAUCUCGCCUGAUCUCGGAAGCUAAGCAGGGUCGGGCCUGGUUAGUACUUGGAUGGGAAACCACCUUGGAAUACCAGUUGCUGUAGACG
rnacentral:rRNA from 1 species